GGGUGAGUAAUGCCUAGGAAUCUACCUGGUAGUGGGGGAUAACGUUCGGAAACGGACGCUAAUACCGCAUACGUCCUACGGGAGAAAGCAGGGGACCUUCGGACCUUGCGCUAUCAGAUGAGCCUAGGUCGGAUUAGCUAGUUGGUGAGGUAAUGGCUCACCAAGGCUACGAUCCGUAACUGGUCUGAGAGGAUGAUCAGUCACACUGGAGGGGAGACACGGUCCAGACUCCUACGGGAGGCAGCAGUGGGGAAUAUUGGACAAUGGGCGA
rnacentral:rRNA from 1 species